rnacentral:rRNA from 1 species
UGGGCGAAAGCCUGACGGAGCAAUGCCGCGUGUGGGAUCAAGCAUCUUCGAUGUGUAAACCACUGUCAGGGUCUAGGAAUACUGACCAGACCCAGAGGAAGGGCCGGCUAAUUCAGUGCCAGCAGCCGCGGUAAUACUGAAGGCCCGAGCGUUAAUCGGAAUCACUGGGCUUAAAGCGUACGCAGGCGGACUUGUAGGUAUUUUGUGAAAUCCCACGGCUUAACCGUGGAACUGCAGAGUAAACCACAAGUCUUGAGACAUGUAGGGGUCAGUGGAACGAUGUGUGGAGCGGUGAAAUGCGUAGAU